CCUAUCACAUGCGAUAGGACUUAUGCGGAAUACAACCGCGUACCUAGGAGAACUAGGAUUGGACUCCUAAAGAGGAGAAAACAAAUG
rnacentral:ncRNA from 1 species